UUUUUUUUUUUUUUUUUUUGAGACGGAGUCUCGCUCUGUCGCCCAGGCUGGAGUGCAGUGGCCGGAUCUCAGCUCACUGCAAGCUCCACCUCCCGGGUUCACGCCAUUCUCCUGCCUCAGCCUCCGGAGUAGCUGGGACUACAGGCGCCCGCCACCUCGCCCGGCUAGUUUUUUGUAUUUUUAGUAGAGACAGGGUUUCACCAUGUUAGCCAGGAUGGUCUCGAUCUCCUGACCUUGUGAUCCGCCCGUCUCGGCCUCCCAAAGUGCUGGGAUUACAGGCUUGAGCCACCACGCCCGGCCUAAAAUGUUUCUUAACAUUAGCAGACACUCUUCAUAAACAUUCAUAAUGACUGCAAAUAUGCCGUCCAAGGGAGAUGAGCUAUUUUAUUGUUUACUGCUGGACAAAUAGAGUUUUCCCCCUUAAAUCCUCCGAUUCUGUCCAAGAUGAAACUAUCUACAUGAGUUCAACUAGAGACUGCAGUUUAUUUCAGACCCGGAUCAGCCAUUUGCUCCCUGGGGACGCAAGGCUCUGGGGUCAGGAGGAGGCCCAGCGCCAAGCCAGAAGGAUGAGCGGGUGGUCCCUGGUCUACGUGGCCUGCAGGGGCUGGCUGUGUGGUCCAGGCCGGUAGAGGAGAUAUAUUUAACUGGGUCAGAUGCUGCUGACUGUGUCAUGGCCCAGGAGGAUUGUGCUGUUGGUAAACAAACCAGAAUGUCCUGGCUGCAGCCAGCCCUCCUUCCUCCGCCCUCUCCUCAGCUGGCUGACCUGGCAGGGGGUGUGAAAAGCAGAGGAGAGCAUGUCCAGAGAGAGGGCUCAGACGCAGGGGCCCCUGCAAGGCGCCUCGCCCAGGCAGGAUUGGGAAGUGGCCUUGCCUCACUGCCCUUAGUUGUUUUUUUCCCUAUUUCCCUCCUGCCUCUACCAACGCAGCACAGCCUGGGCGGCCCAGGAGGCAUUUCUGCUCCCUGCCUCCUCCCACGCUUCCCUCUCUCCCUCCAGCCCAGUCAAUCUUAUUUGCCCUGCUAAGUAAGUGGAGUUCAUUCAUUCGUGUAUUCAUUCCAUUCAACUCAUUUAGCCAUUUAUUUAUUGAGCAAAAUUCUUUCAAGGACCUAAGAUAAGCCAGGCUUCGAGCUGGCCACCAAGAAUACAACAGGAGGCCGGGCGCAGUGGCUCACGCCUGUAAUACAACAGGAGGCCAGGCGCAGUGGCCCACGCCUGUAAUACAACAGGAGGCCAGGCGCAGUGGCCCACGCCUAUAAUACAACAGGAGGCCAGGUGUAGUAGCUCAUGCCUGUAAUACAAAAGGAGGCCAGGUGUAGUAGCUCACGCCUGUAAUACAACAGGAGGCCAGGUGUAGUGGCUCACGCCUGUAAUACAACAGGAGGCCGGGCGCAGUGGCUCACGCCUGUAAUACAACAGGAGGCCGGGCGCAGUGGCCCACACCUAUAAUACAACAGGAGGCCAGGCGUAGUAGCUCAUGCCUGUAAUACAAUAGGAGGCCAGGUGUAGUAGCUUACGCCUGUAAUACAACAGGAGGCCAGGUGCAAUGGCUCACGCCUGUAAUACAACAGGAGGCCAGGUGCGGUAGCUCACGCCUGUAAUACAACAGGAGGCCAGGUGCAAUGGCUUACGCCUGU
ensembl:lncRNA